CCUGAUCCAGCAAUGCCGCGUGUGUGAAGAAGGCCUUCGGGUUGUAAAGCACUUUUAUCGGGGACGAAAUCCGGAAGGUUAAUACCCGUCCGGGAUGACGGUACCCGAGGAAUAAGCACCGGCUAAAUUCGUGCCAGCAGCCGCGGUAAU
rnacentral:rRNA from 1 species